rnacentral:rRNA from 1 species
UACGAAGGUGGCAAGCGUUACUCGGAAUUACUAGGCGUAAAGGGCAGGUAGGUGGCCCGAUAAGUCUGUUGUGAAAGCUCCCGGCUCAACUGGGAGAGGUCAACAGAUACUGUCGGGCUUGAGUAUGGGAGAGGGUACUGGAAUUCCUGGUGUAGCGGUGAAAUGCGCAGAGAUCAGGAGGAACACCAAUAGCGAAGGCAGCUCGCUGGGACGUUACUGACACUGAGGCGCGAAAGCGUGGGGAGCGAACAGG